rnacentral:hammerhead_ribozyme from 1 species
AUUCAGCUGACGAGUCCCAAAUAGGGCGAAAUGCGUGUCAAACUGGAU